AUGGAGCCAGUAAAUUGAGCAGUUGCUCGAUGAACCGCUCGACUCUCGCUCGUUUUGUCUGAGGCGCUCAAUGUGGGUCACUUGAGGGUUUUGAGCACUGCUAUAUAAGCAAUACAAACCCAUGCCGCUCCAGCCAUUUGAACUAUUCCCCCAAACAUCAUUCCUCCGUGCGAUUUUCCUUCCAUUUCUCACCUCUCAUUAGUCGAGUGAUUUCUCUAACAAAAUCAGAAGUCCACUCACGACAUUGAGCCUGCGAUGUGUACAAGGACGGACAACAACUUUUGCUCCAGCCAAGCACAAUUUCCAUGAAUCGUGUGGGUACAUAUUAGACAGCCAUUGAGCUGAAACUCGUGGGUCUAUAUGUAUGUUUAUAUAUACCAGAUGAAGAGGACGUCAAAGAUAGCAGAAGAGAACUUACCACAGGAGGUUGCGGACGGCUUGGGGCUAGUUUAACAACACGGUGGGGUAGCCUAAUCAUGAAGGAAGAGAGAGAGAGAGAGAGAGAGAGAGAGAGAGAGAGAGAGUUAGAAAGAUCAGUUGGAGGAGGGAGAUACGUGCCUGAAUUUUUAAAGGCGAAGAUGCAAUGAUGCGGCAGCAGGCUCAUGGUGAUUGUAGUGGUGGCAACACUUUCACAAAGGAGAGAGAGAGAGAGAGAGAGAGAGAGAGAGAGAAUCGGGGUAGCGAAGCAAAAAUUAGACAAUAUUUCAAAGCGUAGAAAAUAAAAUAUGAGUUUUAUCGGCGAUAUUUCACACUGCAAUAUAUAUAUAACCUUAGCCAAGAUUACAACGUUCCCUCAUGGUGAUUAAUGUACUCGAUGGAAAUUACAUAUAUUUUUAAGCGAGUUUAUUUUUGCCGCGA